rnacentral:lncRNA from 1 species
GCACCCCUCAGAUGAGAGCCAGGACAGGGACCGGAAGACACUGUGGUUCUCACAAGUGCAGCAGAUGAAGGGGGACUCCCUUCCUCUGUCUGAGCAAGAAACAGCUUGUGCCUUCACUGUAGUCUUCAUCCAGGAGGACCAGGAAGGAACAGAGCAGCACUGACAUCUGCCAGUCCCUGGGGUCAAGUGGCUUAAAAAAGGCACAGAUGUGACCUAAAUCCUGAUCACUGUGCUGGGGGCUCUCCUUGUGAAGACCGCAUCUUAGGGGACAGCCAGCCAUCUCGUUCCCUGAGGAUGUGCUGCCGUGGAUGCUGCUGAAGAAGAGCUGGAAGGACUGACAGGCUCCGGUGGCCACCCUACAACCAGAAGACAGACACCUGACAAUGUAUUGUCAGAUGAUGGAUUAGCCAAGCCUGGGGAAGAGAGCUGAGUGUACAGCUUCCCUCCCAGUCUCCUGGGUGACAAAACCGCUGGAUGACCCCGCCAACAAUAAUGAGAUGAAAAUGAAGAACACUGCAGUAUAAUGAGCAUGAUAAAAUAGAGAUGUUGCUAAAUAAUGGGUCGGCCAUGGCUGAGGAGCAGGAGAAAGAGCCAAGCCCAAAGGAGGUGGAUAAGGCCUUCCUGUGUGGUCUCCAAGCCUGACCCCCUGAUGUGUUGCUGUUGCUCAACCAGGCCAUAGAUGGUUUUGAGUCCCUAGGGUGGCAAAGAUGUCAGAGAGGGACUAGAGGGUGGGCCUAAGUGAAAAUCCCCAGCAGGCUCUAUCCUGGUCACUGUGGCUCUGACCUCCACCAGGGGAGGGACAAAAGUGUGGUAAGCACACAUGCUGAUGGUGGUUAUGAAUUACUGCCUUUAGUAGGAACCUGUUGCCUGCCAAUGAGUAUCAGCAAAUGGUCUGAGUUAACGCAUCAAAGUUUUUCAGAACAUUGCACCUCUCAUCUACAUAGUGCAGAGUGGAAGAAGCCUGUUAAUUAUGCUUUUGUUUGUAUUUUUGUUUAGUUGGUAGCUUGGAGUAUCUGCCAGCAGAGGCAGCUGCCCCUAGGGAGGGAGGUACCUGGGUGCUACAGGGAUGGCUGCCUGUAAAGAUUUCUGGCACCAAGCCUCUCUGCAGUUUUUGUUUUUUAUUUUUUAAAUAAUUAAAUUAAGACUUAUUUUUGAAUAAGUAAUAUCUACAUAGAGUACAAAAUUUAAAAGGAACAAAAGGGGUGCAGGAAACAUACA